UAUCCUUACGGCGGACGGGUGAGUAAUGCUUAGGAAUCUGCCUAUUAGUGGGGGACAACAUUUCGAAAGGAAUGCUAAUACCGCAUACGUCCUACGGGAGAAAGCAGGGGAUCUUCGGACCUUGCGCUAAUAGAUAGCCUAAGUCGGUUAGCUAGUUGGUGGGGUAAAGGCCUACCAAGGCGACAUCUGUAGCGGGUCUGAGAGGAUGAUCCGCCACACUGGGACUGAGACCGGCCCAGACUCCUACGGGAGGCAGCAGUGGGGAAUAUUGGACAAUGGCGCAAGCCUGAUCCAGCCAUGCCGCGUGUGUGAAGAAGGCCUUAUGGUUGUAAAGCACUUUAAGCGAGGAGGAGGCUACUGAAGUUAAUACCUUCAGAUAGUGGACGUUACCGCAGAAUAAGCACCGGCUAACCUGUGCCAGCAGCCGCGGUAAUACAGAGGGUGCAAGCGUUAAUCGGAUUUACUGGGCGUAAAGCGCGCGUAGGCGGCUAAUUAAGUCAAAUGUGAAAUCCCCGAGCUUACUUGGGAAUUGCAUUCGAUACUGGUUAGCUAGAGUGUGGGAGAGGAUGGUAGAAUUCCAGUGUAGCGGUGAAAUGGUAGAGAUCUGGAGGAAUACCGAGGCGAAGGCAGCCAUCUGGCCUAACACUGACGCUGAGGUGCGAAAGCAUGGGGAGCAAACAGGAUUAGAUACCCUGGUAGUCCAUGCGUAAACGAUGUCUACAGCCCGUUGGGGGCCU
rnacentral:rRNA from 1 species